rnacentral:rRNA from 1 species
GAUGAACGCUGGCGGCGUGCCUAAUACAUGCAAGUCGAGCGAACAGACGAGGAGCUUGCUCCUCUGACGUUAGCGGCGGACGGGUGAGUAACACGUGGAUAACCUACCUAUAAGACUGGGAUAACUUCGGGAAACCGGAGCUAAUACCGGAUAAUAUAUUGAACCGCAUGGUUCAAUAGUGAAAGACGGUUUUGCUGUCACUUAUAGAUGGAUCCGCGCCGCAUUAGCUAGUUGGUAAGGUAACGGCUUACCAAGGCGACGAUGCGUAGCCGACCUGAGAGGGUGAUCGGCCACACUGGAACUGAGACACGGUCCAGACUCCUACGGGAGGCAGCAGUAGGGAAUCUUCCGCAAUGGGCGAAAGCCUGACGGAGCAACGCCGCGUGAGUGAUGAAGGUCUUCGGAUCGCAAAACUCUGUUAUUAGGGAAGAACAAAUGUGUAAGUAACUAUGCACGUCUUGACGGUACCUAAUCAGAAAGCCACGGCUAACUACGUG